ACCCCCCUCAGCAUCCGCGCGGGGGAGCGGACUGUCCGGGGCUGAAUUGGCGCGAGCGCGGCGCCGGGGGCUGGCUGGGGCGCGGGGCCCCGGGCUGGCGGCUUGCCAGCGCUCCCUCCCUAGCAUGCACACAGAGGCGGUGGGCGGCGCGGCGCGGAGGCCCCAGAAGCUGCGAAGCCAAGCAGCGGCACCUGCCUGCCGAGCAAUGCCAAGUGAGUUCACCUCUGCAAAGCUGAGAAGUGAUUGCUCAAGGACCUCCCUGCAAUGGUACACCCGAACCCAGCACAAGAUGAGAAGACCCAGCUUGUUAAUAAAAGACAUCUGCAAGUGCACGUUGGUUGCAUUUGGAGUCUGGCUCCUGUACAUCCUCAUUUUGAAUUACACCGCUGAAGAAUGUGACAUGAAAAGAAUGCACUAUGUGGACCCUGACCGGAUAAAGAGAGCUCAGAGCUAUGCUCAGGAAGUCUUGCAGAAGGAAUGUCGGCCCAGGUACGCGAAGACGGCUAUGGCUCUGUUAUUUGAGGACAGGUACAGCAUCAACUUGGAGCCUUUUGUGCAGAAGGUCCCCACGGCCAGUGAAGCUGAGCUCAAGUAUGACCCGCCUUUUGGAUUCCGGAAGUUCUCCAGUAAAGUCCAGAGCCUCUUGGAUAUGCUGCCCGAACAUGACUUUCCUGAACACUUGAGAGCCAAGGCCUGCAAGCGCUGUGUGGUUGUUGGGAACGGGGGCAUCCUGCACGGACUAGAGCUGGGUCACGCCCUCAACCAGUUCGAUGUGGUAAUAAGGUUGAACAGUGCGCCAGUUGAGGGUUACUCUGAACACGUUGGGAAUAAAACUACUAUAAGGAUGACUUACCCAGAGGGUGCGCCACUGUCGGACGUUGAAUACUACGCCAAUGAUUUGUUCGUUACUGUUUUAUUUAAGAGUGUUGAUUUCAAGUGGCUUCAAGCAAUGGUAAAAAAUGAAAGCCUGGUAAGAACUCAAAGUCCUCGGGCAAUCAGACAUAGGUAAAAGCUUAGAGCAUCUUGGAUUGCAAUUAUGGACAUUUAUUUUUUAAAUAGACACAGUAGAAUUCAUACUUUUAUGUUGUCUUUCAAAUUACACUCUCCCUGUUUGUAGAAACCCCUCAGAACUCUUGCUGCAAAUUGCUUCUAGAACCUGGUUAAGAGCUGGGUCGUGGGACUGAAAAUGCAGCUCAGUUGUAGAAUCCUUCCCUGGCCUGGGUUCGGUCCCCAGCACCACAUAAAGCCGGGCAUAGGAGUGCACACCUACAAGCUCAGCACUUGGGAGGUGAGGACAGGAGGAUAAGCUCUGGGUCAUCCUCAGCUACAUAGAGUUUGAGGCCAGCCUGGGCUACGUGUGAUCCUCCUGUCUUAGAAACAAACAAGUAAAUUAAAACUAGGAGAGAGUUUUAUGUGAAAAUGGUGGUCAUUACUAAAAGGGAGUAUGAACUUUAGGACCACAUUUUCCAUCCUGAGAUUAGUUACCUUGUUCUCCAGAAUAGACUCGAAUAGCUUUUAGUUAGUUCAAGAAGUGAGGCUGCUAGGAUGAAGAAUAUAUAUGUAUGUAUAGAUAUAUAUCAUCCCAAAGACGUUCUCCAAAAUGCCAUGGUCAGGAUCCUGUCACUGGGGUAAAUCCAAAGUCUUCUAGAAAGGCAGAGCAGAGCUUUCCACCUGGAUUCCUGUUGUUGGGCUGUCCAGUAGUCAAAUCAUGUUACUUUGUAGUUCCACCCAUUAAAGUGAAAUAAUUUUCACAGUUCAGUUAUCAAGCUGAUCACAAAUAUCCAUCUCUAAAACUAAGAGGAUUGCCGGGCGGUGGUGGCACACGCCUUUGAUCCCAGCACUUGGGAGGCAGAGGCAGACAGAUUUCUGAGUUCAAGGCCAGCCUGGUCUACAAAGUGAGUGCCAGGACAGCCAGGGCUACACAGAGAAACCCUGUCUCAAAAAGAAAAAGAAACAAAAAACAAAAACUAAGAGGAUAGGGUCAUCGGAGAUGGCUCAGAGGGUGAGCCAUUAUGGUGCCUGCCACCAUGCCUCAUGACCCAAAUUUAAUCCCAGGGAGCUGCAAGGUAAAAAAGAGAGAAAUGACUCUCAGAGAUCUUUCUCCGCCUAAUACACACACAAACACACACACACACCUAGAAAGCUAAAAUAUACAUUGUUUUAAAUUAGCUCCAUACUGUGUAAUGGAGCCAUUUCUAUCCCCAGAGCCUGAUUUUCUACAGAUUAUUAUGAUCUUGGAUUUUCUAUUGCAUAGAAUUUCUAAUGGGAAAAUGAAGUGACCUACAGCCUGUUGCUAAGCAACUUUAUGAGACUAGGAGUUAAAGUCAGUGGAAAGUGGGUACUGGUGAGAACCCAUCCAGCAAGACACUCACAGCACUCAGUACCCUUAAAUCCAGCCAGCAUACCGUCCUUCCCUGGGAACACAGUGGCUGUAGAUUGUAAAAGAGAGGCCCUCAGGUCAUCCCUGGGCAGUUUUUUCCUUAAGCAAAUAAACUGGUUCUAUCUGCUCUGUUCAGGUCUGUGCCACCUUUGUAAACUGCACGUUUCGGGGUUCCAUUAUUGGGUUGCAGUCCUGGAUUCACAUGCAUUGAGCCCUUUUGGGUUCGCCUCUUCUUUUGGAAGCAAGUGGCAGAAAAAGUCCCACUCCAGCCAAAGCACUUCAGGAUUUUGAACCCAGUUAUCAUCAAAGAAACUGCCUUCGACAUCCUUCAGUACUCAGAGCCUCAGUCAAGAUUCUGGGGCCAUGAUAAGAACAUCCCCACGAUCGGCGUCAUUGCCGUUGUCUUGGCUACACAUCUGUGUGAUGAAGUCAGCCUGGCAGGCUUUGGCUACGACCUCAGUCAACCCAGGACCCCUCUGCACUACUUUGACAGUCAGUGCAUGGGCGCCAUGCACUGGCAGGUCAUGCACAAUGUGACCACAGAGACCAAGUUCCUCCUGAAGCUCCUCAAGGAGGGCGUGGUGGAGGACCUCAGCGGCGGCAUCCACUGAGAACUCGGAACACGGCAAACCUCACCCAGCACCGCAGCUGAGAGCGUGGUGAGCAGCCUCCACAGGGACUUCACCCUGCAGCUGCUUCGAUGUGCAGCUAGUGUUUUCAAACUCCACAUUUUUUUUAAAAAAGGAAAAGAAAGAACAACAGCAACAACAAAAGCUCUGCUCUGUGCACCUCUUCGUCCUAUUUAUUUGAAGUCAGUGUUGGAUUUUGCACAGUUUUGUAAGUUAAUCUUAAGAAUGGGAUUGGAAGGACUUUUCAAAGAGAAUUGUAUAGUUUAUUGUUUUUUAAGGAAGUAAUUUAAUUUGCAGAAACUGUACACACGUACUCUGCUCAGGUGUUGAGGUGGGAGGAGAGGGGCUUCUGGCCCCUGGAUGAUGGCUGUGAUGCCCGAUACUGGGGUCUGCUGCUCUGUUUGGUAGAACUGAUGGCAGAGAAACUUCCUGCCUCCAGGAUAAAGGGCUUACUCAUCACCUCUGGCAGCUGCUAGACAAGUUCAUAACCCCUUUCUGCUAGUCCAUCUGCCAGCUGGCUCGCAGGACUCAGGCAGGGCAGCUGUCCCGGAGGCUGCUGGUUGGUGAGCCACUGUCAGCUGAGCGCCGUGAUGUUGCCCCAGGGUGGAAGAAGCCACACUUCCUACACUGUCAGGGCACUUUUAAACUUCUGGAGGGGUGUGUGUGUGUGUGUGUGUGUGUGUGUGUGUGUGUGUGUGUGUGUGUGUGUGUUCAUUCUGCCCUUCCAAAUCAUCUAAGUGUUAUUUAAGGCACUCUGCUGUUUGUAUGAGAUGGUUCAUAGAAAUUAUGACAAAGCCUUUGUUAUCCAGGCCAUGGGAAGAGGAAAAAGAAAAGAAAGAAAGAAAAGAAUAAAAGCUUUUGAGGAGCCCCUGUGAUUUCCUGA